rnacentral:lncRNA from 1 species
UAGAGUAUACAAUAUUAUUUUCUAUUAGAGUAUCAUUUAGAUGUACUCUCGUGCUGUUACUUGCACGGUAAACUCUACUAGAGUAUAUUGGUGUUGUGUUGUGCAUUCUGAACUGCUGAAUAUUUGUAUAUUGGACAAUUUAUUUGGAUAUAUAAACAAUUUAUUUGGAUAUAUUUGAUUAUACAUCAAUUUAAAUGCAAGGACUCCAUUUUAUGCAACUUCAUUCUACAUCAGAAGCCCGCUGAAUGUUCUGGAAAAAAUGAAGUUAUUGUGUUUGAUGAAGAAAUUAGGAGGCUCUCCUAUUACAGUUACUUGUAUGGGUUUCUUUGCUGUUAACAAAAUUUUCAUCUGCAGGGCUUACAAGGCUCUCUUCUCUACCUUCACCACAAUGCUAGAAAUCCAGAAUUCUGAUGAGGGGAUUUCUGGAUUUUUCUGUCUUAAUGACACAACGAACAUAUGGAAAGAGUUCAUUUAAAUGAUGAAUACAUAAAAUAAAUGCUGAUGAAUUAUAAUUAUUAAUCAAUAUAUUUUCAUAUAUAUUGUAUAUGUGAUAUUUCGACAGAGUGAGCA